AGAGUGUCCCAUGACGUACACUUGAAUAUGAGAAGAUAUUUAAAAAUUUCUUCUCAUAUUCAAGUGCACGUCAUGGGACACUCUGCCAGUAA
rnacentral:miRNA from 1 species